UUUGGCACGCCUGAAAAACUAC
rnacentral:miRNA from 1 species